AAGCUCAACUUGUGCUUCCUGCCA
rnacentral:siRNA from 1 species